GAUGAAGAACGCAGCGAAAUGCGAUACUUGGUGUGAAUUGCAGAAUCCCGUGAACCAUCGAGUCUUUGAACGCAAGUUGCGCCCGAAGCCACUAGGCCGAGGGCACGCCUGCCUGGGCGUCACUCCGUUGCCCCCCCAUCUACUCCUUCGGGAUUGCGGGGGGGCGGAUGAUGGCCUCCUGUGCGCCUAGCCGCGCGGUUGGCAUAAAUACCAAGUCCUCGGCGACGCACGCCACGACAAUCGGUGGUUGCGAAACCUCGGUUGCCCGUCGUGUGCGUUCGUCGCGCAUCGAGGGCUCGAAAAAAUGCUCGGCUCCGGCUGGGCUUUCAACGCGACCCCAGGUCAGGCGGGGUUACCCGCUGAAUUUAAGCAUAUCAAUAAGCGGAGGA
rnacentral:misc_RNA from 1 species